UAGGGAAUCUUCCACAAUGGACGCAAGUCUGAUGGAGCAACGCCGCGUGAGUGAAGAAGGUUUUCGGAUCGUAAAGCUCUGUUGUUGGUGAAGAAGGAUAGAGGUAGUAACUGGCCUUUAUUUGACGGUAAUCAACCAGAAAGUCACGGCUAACUACGUGCCAGCAGCCGCGGUAAUACGUAGGUGGCAAGCGUUGUCCGGAUUUAUUGGGCGUAAAGCGAGCGCAGGCGGAAGAAUAAGUCUGAUGUGAAAGCCCUCGGCUUAACCGAGGAACUGCAUCGGAAACUGUUUUUCUUGAGUGCAGAAGAGGAGAGUGGAAUUCCAUGUGUAGCGGUGGAAUGCGUAGAUAUUUGGAAGAACACCAGUGGCGAAGGCGACUCUCUGGUCUGCAACUGACGCUGAGGCUCGAAAGCAUGGGUAGCGAACAGG
rnacentral:rRNA from 1 species